rnacentral:rRNA from 1 species
AGGGUUCGAUUCUGGCUCAGGAUGAACGCUGGCGGCGUGCUUAACACAUGCAAGUCGAACGGGAUCCAUCAAGCUUGCUUGGUGGUGAGAGUGGCGAACGGGUGAGUAAUGCGUGACCGACCUGCCCCAUACACCGGAAUAGCUCCUGGAAACGGGUGGUAAUGCCGGAUGCUCCGACUCCUCGCAUGGGGUGUCGGGAAAGAUUUCAUCGGUAUGGGAUGGGGUCGCGUCCUAUCAGGUAGUCGGCGGGGUAACGGCCCACCGAGCCUACGACGGGUAGCCGGCCUGAGAGGGCGACCGGCCACAUUGGGACUGAGAUACGGCCCAGACUCCUACGGGAGGCAGCAGUGGGGAAUAUUGCACAAUGGGCGCAAGCCUGAUGCAGCGACGCCGCGUGCGGGAUGACGGCCUUCGGGUUGUAAACCGCUUUUGACUGGGAGCAAGCCCUUCGGGGUGAGUGUACCUUUCGAAUAAGCACCGGCUAACUACGUGCCAGCAGCCGCGGUAAUACGUAGGGUGCAAGCGUUAUCCGGAAUUAUUGGGCGUAAAGGGCUCGUAGGCGGUUCGUCGCGUCCGGUGUGAAAGUCCAUCGCUUAACGGUGGAUCCGCGCCGGGUACGGGCGGGCUUGAGUGCGGUAGGGGAGACUGGAAUUCCCGGUGUAACGGUGGAAUGUGUAGAUAUCGGGAAGAACACCAAUGGCGAAGGCAGGUCUCUGGGCCGUUACUGACGCUGAGGAGCGAAAGCGUGGGGAGCGAACAGGAUUAGAUACCCUGGUAGUCCACGCCGUAAACG